rnacentral:rRNA from 1 species
CUCCUACGGGAGACAGCAAUUAGGAAUCUUGCGCAAUGGGGGAAACCCUGACGCAGCGACGCCGCGUGUGGGAUGACGGCCUUCGGGUUGUAAACCACUUUUGCCGGGGAAGAAGCAAGUGACGGUACCCGGUGAAUAAGCCCCGGCUAACUACGUGCCAGCCGCCGCGGUAAUAC